AGUGAACGCUGGCGGUAGGCCUAACACAUGCAAGUCGAACGGCAGCACAGUAGGAGCUUGCUCUUACGGGUGGCGAGUGGCGGACGGGUGAGGAAUACAUCGGAAUCUACUUUUUCGUGGGGGAUAACGUAGGGAAACUUACGCUAAUACCGCAUACGACCUACGGGUGAAAGCAGGGGAUCUUCGGACCUUGCGCGAUUGAAUGAGCCGAUGUCGGAUUAGCUAGUUGGCGGGGUAAAGGCCCACCAAGGCGACGAUCCGUAGCUGGUCUGAGAGGAUGAUCAGCCACACUGGAACUGAGACACGGUCCAGACUCCUACGGGAGGCAGCAGUGGGGAAUAUUGGACAAUGGGCGCAAGCCUGAUCCAGCCAUACCGCGUGGGUGAAGAAGGCCUUCGGGUUGUAAAGCCCUUUUGUUGGGAAAGAAAAGCAGCAGGUUAAUACCCCACUGUUCUGACGGUACCCAAAGAAUAAGCACCGGCUAACUUCGUG
rnacentral:rRNA from 1 species